AAUCAUUCCACUUAGGUGUCAAGAUGGAUAAAAAAGACCUAAUUUUGGGUUGUUUCGGUUCUCCGUGUAGAAGAGAAGUGAAAAACAGAAAGGGCUAUACAUGUUAUAACAGUUAUAGGACGUGAAGCUAGCCGCCUACAGUUAUGUUUCGAUUUUCUGUCUCUAUCGGUUUAUGUUUCAUGUUGCGUAGAAUUGUCUUUGUGUAGAAGGUAGAACGUAGAGAGGUGAAAUUAAAUUUGUGUUUAGUUUAUGUUCAGUCUUCGUAGUAAACGGUUCUGAUGAAAUUGAUGUAGUGUUUCUAUGGAAUAAAGUUAAUGCUAAGGCUAGAAGGAAGAAAAUAAAACUGUGUUCUGUGUAAGAGUGACCGAUUGUUUCGCUGAAUUCGAAACUGGAGGAAAUACCGAAGUAUCCCUGCUAGCUGCUAUCGCACCGCCGUCGUGAUUAUCGCCAUCGCAAUCGUCACUUGCAAAGGGUGAAAAACUGGAAGGAAGGAUAACAGCCAUCCGAUCAGCUGUUGACAACAUCGUUCUCAGCAAGUGACACCGUAGGAAUUUCUGGGACGGAACGCAAUAGGUAAGGUCACAACAUUUGGUGCCGUGACCAGGAUUGCGCUCCAAGGAAGCGACGGCACGUUAGCUACUCCAUUUUAUGGUUCGAGGACAAAAGGAUAUCUACAUAAUACGGAAUUCAGGAACACAAUUGAGCUCGCCAUUUGCAUCACAAUCAAUCGCCACAGUCUUAUUGGAAAAGCCCAUCUUUACUCGUUCAAUGGUUCAGCAAGACGCCAUAGCUACGUGAUCCUGGAGAAACCAGUAGAUAUUGAAAAUGAAUUGCCUGUUUGACAGGCUCACAAGACUGGAUAACGGAAGGAAAGGCUUUCGUCCGUUGGAUAACUAUCUGAAGGCAUUGGCUCUGCUGGUCAUCAACGCAGCAACAUUCAGGACCAACGACACGAUAAAGGGAACAAUAAAGGAUGAAAUCA